GGGUUGUGAGGUUAAGCGACUAAGCGUACACGGUGGAUGCCCUGGCAGUCAGAGGCGAUGAAGGACGUGCUAAUCUGCGAUAAGCGUCGGUAAGGUGAUAUGAACCGUUAUAACCGGCGAUUUCCGAAUGGGGAAACCCAGUGUGAUUCGUCACACUAUCAUUAACUGAAUCCAUAGGUUAAUGAGGCGAACCGGGGGAACUGAAACAUCUAAGUACCCCGAGGAAAAGAAAUCAACCGAGAUUCCCCCAGUAGCGGCGAGCGAACGGGGAGCAGCCCAGAGCCUGAAUCAGUGUGUGUGUUAGUGGAAGCGUCUGGAAAGGCGCGCGAUACAGGGUGACAGCCCCGUACACAAAAAUGCACAUACUGUGAGCUCGAUGAGUAGGGCGGGACACGUGGUAUCCUGUCUGAAUAUGGGGGGACCAUCCUCCAAGGCUAAAUACUCCUGACUGACCGAUAGUGAACCAGUACCGUGAGGGAAAGGCGAAAAGAACCCCGGCGAGGGGAGUGAAAAAGAACCUGAAACCGUGUACGUACAAGCAGUGGGAGCACAGAGCAAUCUGUGUGACUGCGUACCUUUUGUAUAAUGGGUCAGCGACUUAUAUUCUGUAGCAAGGUUAACCGAAUAGGGGAGCCGAAGGGAAACCGAGUCUUAACUGGGCGUUAAGUUGCAGGGUAUAGACCCGAAACCCGGUGAUCUAGCCAUGGGCAGGUUGAAGGUUGGGUAACACUAACUGGAGGACCGAACCGACUAAUGUUGAAAAAUUAGCGGAUGACUUGUGGCUGGGGGUGAAAGGCCAAUCAAACCGGGAGAUAGCUGGUUCUCCCCGAAAGCUAUUUAGGUAGCGCCUCGUGAAUUCAUCUCCGGGGGUAGAGCACUGUUUCGGCAAGGGGGUCAUCCCGACUUACCAACCCGAUGCAAACUGCGAAUACCGGAGAAUGUUAUCACGGGAGACACACGGCGGGUGCUAACGUCCGUCGUGAAGAGGGAAACAACCCAGACCGCCAGCUAAGGUCCCAAAGUCAUGGUUAAGUGGGAAACGAUGUGGGAAGGCCCAGACAGCCAGGAUGUUGGCUUAGAAGCAGCCAUCAUUUAAAGAAAGCGUAAUAGCUCACUGGUCGAGUCGGCCUGCGCGGAAGAUGUAACGGGGCUAAACCAUGCACCGAAGCUGCGGCAGCGAC
rnacentral:rRNA from 1 species